GACGAACGCUGGCGGCGUGCCUAAUACAUGUACGUCGAACGCAGUGGGGACGGGUGGGUAACACGUGGGUAACCUCCCAUCAGAGGGGAUAACACUUGGAAACAGGUGCUAAACCGAUCCUGAUGGAUGGACCCGCGGUGCAUUAGCUAGUGGGUGGGGUAACGGCUCACCAAGGCCACGAUGCAUAGCCGACCGGCGAGGGUGAUCAGCCACACUGGGACGGAGACACGGCCCAGACGCCUACGGGAGGCAGCAGUAGGGAAGCUGCGGCAAUGGACGAAAGUCUGACCGAGACACGCCGCGUGAGUGAAGAAGGUUUUCGGAUCGUAAACCUCUGUUGUUAGAGAAGCGGUAUCUAACCAGAAAGCCACGGCUAACUACGUGCCAGCCGCCGCGGUAAUAC
rnacentral:rRNA from 1 species